rnacentral:miRNA from 1 species
CCCAGGCCCUGGGCCCCUGGAGGGCCCCAUUAGCCCUGGUCAUGGCCUUGGUCCUGGUCC